rnacentral:rRNA from 1 species
AAGGGCCAUCGCUCAACGGAUAAAAGCUACCCCGGGGAUAACAGGCUUAUCUCCCCCAAGAGUUCACAUCGACGGGGAGGUUUGGCACCUCGAUGUCGGCUCAUCGCAUCCUGGGGCUGUAGUCGGUCCCAAGGGUUGGGCUGUUCGCCCAUUAAAGCGGUACGCGAGCUGGGUUCAGAACGUCGUGAGACAGUUCGGUCCCUAUCCGUCGUGGGCGUAGGAAAUUUGAGAGGAGCUGUCCUUAGUACGAGAGGACCGGGAUGGACAUACCUCUGGUGUACCAGUUGUCGUGCCAACGGCAUAGCUGGGUAGCUAUGUGUGGACGGGAUAAGUGCUGAAAGCAUCUAAGCAUGAAGCCCCCCUCAAGAUGAGAUUUCCCAACUUCGGUUAUAAGAUCCCUCAAAGAUGAUGAGGUUAAUAGGUUCGAGGUGGAAGCAUGGUGACAUGUGGAGCUGACGAAUACUAAUCGAUCGAAGACU